CGACAAGAACGACAUUUUCUAACGAGUUGUCUUAUGGCCUCCGAGAUUUGCGCGCGAAGCUGGCGCGCGCGAACCUGGGAGGCCAUAAUUGGCCGCUUAAUAGCAUAAAAAGACAAAAAGAUAAUGCCAAACGACACAGUUAAAAAUUCAAACAACGUACUGAUCUUAGCUAUACUGUUUGGGGAAAAGAAAUAAAAAAAUAGACAGCCGUAACACACGCCACUAAAGCCACCACCGCCGGCAUAACGCGGAACCAACAGUUGGCAACAUUGCUUCGUCCGCUUCGUCUCCGCAACGAGAGCCGCCAUCCUUUCGCGCCGGCCGUUUUGUCAUAGUUCUGUUUUUCUGCAAGUCCGUGCACGCAGCUAAUCGGUAGAUGCACGGGUGCACGGCGUCGCAUUGCGACCUGCGGCAUUUUCUCGUGUUCGCGCAAUCGGUGUGAAACAUGUCGCAUGUGAAAUAUUUGAUAGAAGUGCCUCACGUCCAAGUCAAGCCGCCGUACGAGUGUAUGGCUGUGUGCCCCGUUCUCGGAAGCGUCGACGGGUUUCCGGCAUGCGGAUUUCAGCGUUUGGACUCGACUUUUGGUGAGGAUGUCGAUCGACCUUGGGCCUGGUGACAGCACACCCGACAUGGCCAAAGUGCAGCCUAUCAGUUUAGUGCCCCCGAAUGGACCAUCAGCAUCGGAAAAUGAAGCAGAGCCAGGGGGAAAAGGUUCCGGUAACACCAUGCAUUCAGUAUGGUGGCCCAGACGUGUAUGCAAGCAACCUCCUUCACGUGGACCAAGAACUACUCCGCAGUGUC